CUUCUGCUGCCGGCAGUUCCAAGAGUUCUGCGAGUCUUCCUUCACCCCUUGCUGUGCUUGAUAUUAUCCUGACGACCACAACCAUCCACCUUAUCCGUGGAAAGCUGUCCAACACCACAACAACCACUCAUCUCCCGGAGCAAACACACCUGCCACUGUUGACUGCAAACACCCCAUCUAGUUGUCCAGGAUUGAAUGAAUGAUUUUGACAAAUGGGAGUGUCUAUGGAAACACUGGGAGUUUGGGUUCUUUUGAAGACCCUAACCUGGAGUUACACGCUAACUUUGGUUCUUUGUGGGAAUAGGACCCACUCUCAAGGUUUCACAACUGGCCAUUAUUCAAUAUGCCAGGGAUGCGGCCUAGGAGGUUAGCUCGCCUCGGGAGUUCCGGGAUCUCGUGGCUCUGGAGACAGGAAGGCCGAAGGUCGGUGCCUCUGCAGGAAUCCAGUGUGUCAUGGGAGACAGAACAUCAAAAGCAGCGAGUUGGCUGCUGGCUGUGUGCCCACAGUCCAGAGCUCUUUGGGCACAGACCUCAGAAAAAAGCAACGCAACUGACUUUUAACAUCAUGAAUCAGCACGCUGUUUGUUAUUUCUCCCCUCUCAUUGUGAAAUGGAGACACCUUUUUCCCUUAUUAGGAAGAGAGAGAGCCUGUGGUAUGUUGAAUACCAGGUGAACUAGUCGUCUUUGGAGUACUACAAGUCUGUGUCUUUGCACUGAUGCUUUGCUGCACGCUUGAGUGCUCGGUGGUGGGUGCCAAAGCUUUUUUUUUUGCUGGUGGGGGGGGGGCUUUGCUUUGCUGCUGCUUACACAUAGGAGAGGGGAGCUGGGAGGGGGGGCUUUAGGGUAACACUUAACUGUCAUUCCUCCUUUGUGAGCACUCCUCUGUUUUUGUAGAUGGUUGCGAAGAAAAAGUAUUUCAGGAUGUAUACUGUAUACAUUUCUCUAACAUUAAAUGUACCUUUAGAAAUCUUUGAAGACUACCUGAGCGUUGAAGCAGGGUUGUAAACUGUUCAUCAUUCUGCGAUGUACUCCACUUCCAGACUAUUAAGAGCUUAAGAACAAGCCAGACAACUUUAAAAUCAAUUCUAAAAGAUACAGGAAGCGAAAGCCGAGUUAUUUGAUGGGAGUGAUAUGCUCCCUCAUACUAGUUUUAGUUAAAAGUCUAGCAGUGGCAUUCUGAAUGAGUUGAAGUUGGUCAAUAGGUCACUUUGGAAGAUCAGUAAAAAGAGCAUUGUAGUAAUCUAGUCUAUUCAAUAUGAAGGCAUUGACUAGAUUUUCAGCAUUACGGGACAGGAACAGACAUACCUUUGCAAUAUUUGUGUGUAGAAAAACUGUCCUGAUCACUUUCUGUAUGUGGCAAUUAAAAUUCAAAUCUGAAUCAAAGAUAACAUCCAGGCUUGUUACUUUUGAUUUUACAAGGGCAGCCAAGUUCCCAACUUUAUAAACAAGUUUCUCUCUUGACUUUGGGACCAACCACAAGUAUUAGUUUUAGGAAAUUAUUGCUCAUCCAUUUGUUUAUUACAGCUAUACUAGAAGUCAAAGAUGGGGUAUUAUCAUCAGCAGGCUCAACCGAGAUAAACGAUUGUGUGUCAUAUACAUCAGUGGUCCCCAACCACCAGGCCGUGGACCGGUGACGUGCCGCAAAGCAUGUGCUACCGGGCCACGAGGAAACGAUAUGAUUUGGCGAUAUGAGUCAGCUGCACCUUUCCUCAUUCCGUCACACCCACCGUUGAGUCAUUACGCAUGCGAGGUCAUUACCCACGUGAGAUCAUUACCCACGUGAGGUCAUUACCUGUGCGUCAUCCAUUUCAGCGCGGGAAGGAGAUCAACUCCUCGAGCUUGCAAAUGACGGCGGGCUGAAAAGUAUGUUUGACAUAACAUCUCUGCCGGCAUUCGGGAUCAAAAUCAAGGCUAAAUAUCCUGAGAUAGACACGAAAGCACUGAAAACGUUGCUUCCAUUUUCAACAUCAUCGCUGCGAAGCGGGCUUUUCUGCAAUGAAUGCAAUGAAAACUAAAUUGCGGAAUAGAUUGCCCAUAAGGAACUCCCUUUGAGUAUCGCUGUCUCCCAUCACCUCUUGAUAGGACCAUCUUGUUGCUGGGAAACAAGCCCAGGGCUCCCACUGAUACAGCGAUAUUGGUGUGUUGCAAUGAUUUUAUACGUUCAUACAGGGAAAAUAUGUGCUGUGUGUAUAAUAUCCAAACGUUACUUAAAAUGUUAUGAUGCUAUUGACUUACUUAUAUAACCAUAUAACAAUUACAGCACAGAAACAGGCCAUCUCGGCCCUUCUAGUCCGUGCCGAACACUACUCUCACCUGCACUCAGCACAUAACCCUCCAUUCCUUUCCUGUCCAUAUACCUAUCCAAUUUUUCUUCAAAUGAUAAUAUCAAACCUGCCUCUACCACUUCUACUGGAAGUUCGUUCAACACUUACUUCAAGCUCCCCUGUCCUCCUUUGAUAAUUGACUUAUCACUGUACUCAUGCGAGGAAAAUAUGCGCUGUGUGAUUAAUAUUAAAUUCGUUAGAUAAACUCUUUUAGAAACCAAAUUGAGUCACUUAUCACCUACAUUCCGGUUGUGAUUAACACCCCCCACCCCCAAACAGAAUCGCCAAAAAUUAUUUGAAGAAAAAAAAAAUCGGCAGGUACACGCACGCGCAGGUCACGCAUGUGCACUGGUGCCCGCGCAAGGCUUCAUGGUCCUUGUAGUCUUUUCUGGGUAACCACAACGUAUUCGACUGCUACUCUUGUCCAUUUGCAACCUCACCGCCCCCCCCCACCCCGCCGGGUCAGCCGGUCCACAAGAAUAUUGUCAAUAUUAAACCAGUCCACAGUGCAAAAAAGGUUGGGGACCCCUGAUAUCCAUUGCUGUGGAAAUCAAGUUUAUUUCUCCUAAGGAGAGCAUGCAUAGAGUAGGGAUCCAAGACAGCUUCCCUGAGCAACAUCAAAUGGUACAUAUCUCUUAGAAAAUUGGUCUCCAAAAUAGACAAAAGAUUCUCUCUCCAAGACAUAUGAAAGAAACCAAUUAAAGACACUACCAGAGAAGCCAACCCAGGUCCCAAGGCAAUCUAGGAGAGUGUUGUGGUCAAUUGUGUUGAAGGCAGCACUUAGAACUAGGAGAAUUAGAAAUGAGAUCCUGUUGGCAUCAGUGCUGAGCCCAAAGUUGCUGACAAUUUUGGUAAAGGCCGUCUCCGUGCUGUGGUUUGCUCUAAAACCUGACUGAAACCUUUUUAGUUGGUUGAAAAUGAUUUUCUCAAGAGUCUUGCCCAGGAAGGGAAGAUUUGAUAUAGGCCUAUAGU